UGGUGACCAUUGCGGUAGGGUUCACCUCUUCCCAUCCCGAACAGAGAAGUUAAGCCUGCCAGCGCCGAUGGUACUGCCCCAACAGGUGGGAGAGUAGGUCGUCGCCA
rnacentral:rRNA from 1 species